AGGAGAGCCCCGCCACCCAACAGAGGAAACUCAUUUCGGCCGCUUGUACCUGUGAUCUUGUCCUUUCGUUCAUAAGCCAAACUUCAUGAACAUAGUUGGGCCGUGCCGUAGCGGGGGAACUUAGCUGCAGUUCACUUGCUACUGAUGAGCCACAAGCCAGCAGAAGUGGACAAAAUAAAAUCUACCUUAUGGAAAUAUCAGGUUCAAAGCCAUGGCAAGUUGUUCUCCCGACAAGAAAAGACUAUUUUUCACAGCGAGAAAAAGUGACAUCCCUGCGGCAAACACCUGCUGCGCACAUCGUACAGAGGUGAGUUGCAUGAUUUAUGAUCUACAAUAAAGUUUGACAAGCAAGG